rnacentral:lncRNA from 1 species
GGAGUGCGUCACUGUGCCCGGCCCCAUCAUCAUUUAUUGAGUACUGAUUCUGGGCAGGGGGACACACUAACUGCUGAAAGGACACCAGAUCUGAAUCCGUCCCUGUCCUCAAGAAGCUCCAGGCUUAGGGAGGGAUGAGACAUACGCGUGAGAAAGCUCAGACCCCAGUCACAACAGCCUGGGUGUGAAUCUCCACUCUGCAUUUCCUGCUGUGAGUCAUCAAGCAAACCACGCAACCUCUGAGCCUCUGCUAUGUCCUGCGUGCAAUGGGGAGAAGAGUCCCUACCCUGACAUCACACUUCCAAGGCACAGGCACUGUCUGUCCUGAGCACCUCAUUUCAGGCUCCAAGCUCAGGAAACGCUCGCUCGCUACUGGAGGAAUGUUACAUCUUGAGACCUCAGGGGGCAACUGAAUAAUUAAAUUGAGAGAAAUCAAGACGAUAGUAUUCUAAGCAGCCAUAAAAAUGACUGAGUGCUGGCAUGGAACGGCGACCACAAUUCAUUGCUGAGUGCAAGAAGCAGCCUUGGCUCUGUCUGGGGAGGAUGACGUCACAGCUGCUGAGGAAGAAACCACGCCCAGCCGGCAGAACCCCAGAGGGCCCACCCGAGAGCUCCAAAGAAGUAGGAGGAACCAGAGGUCACAUCGCUCAGGAGGAAGAAACCUGCAUUGGCCAAGAGAGGCAUCCUACAGAGAGGCCCAGUGAUGGCUAUACUGAGACCAGAGGUGUCAAAUUAAGAGUUGUACUGGCUUCUGUCGUGUGGAAACAGCUGUGCUCUGGUGGCAGGGGCAAUGCCCUUUGCCAGAGAAAACCUGGCCUGCCCCACCGCUUCCGGGCUGGUGACUUGGGCCUGUGGCUCGGCUUCCUUAAGGCUCAGUGUUUUUGUCUGAAAUUGAGAUGGGGCCGGGUGCGGUGGCUUAUGCCUGUAAUCCCAGCACUUUG